GACGAACGCUGGCGGCGUGCUUAACACAUGCAAGUCGAACGGUGAAACGCCUUCCUUUUUUGUGUGUUUUUAUGAGUGGCGAACUGAUUAGUAACACGUUAGUAUCCUUCUCCGUUUUUCUUAAUAACCGCAUAAAAGUGUUACUAAUACGGGAUAUUUUGGAUCGCUUGCAUGAUAGGUGUGGGAAGGUUAUUGUGUCGGUUAUAGAUGGGCUCGCGGACUAUCAGCUUGUUGGUGGGGUGAUGGCCUACCAAGGCGGUGACGAGUAGCCGACCUGAGAGGGUCGACGGCCAUAGUGGGAAGGAGACAUCGCGCAGACUACUACGGGCAGCAGUAGUGGAGAAUAUGGCACAAGCGGAGGAAGGAUGAUGCAGCGACGCGUGGUGAAGGAUGGAGUUCUGAUGGUUGAGAACUUCUUUUGGGAGUGAAGAAGGCUUGAAUUGUUUGUGGGUGGCUUGACGGUACCUAGAUAAAAAGCCACGGCUAACUACGUG
rnacentral:rRNA from 1 species